rnacentral:rRNA from 1 species
GACGAACGCUGGCGGCGUGCUUAACACAUGCAAGUCGAACGGAAAGGCCCUUCGGUUUACGCGUGCGCGGGACGGGAACGGAAGAGGAACGCAACCGUCACCUGCCCUUGGGUUAAGGCUAGCAUCCGGGGACUAAUACUAGUACCGCCUACUAACUCCUACGACUUGGUGGGGAAUGUAAAUUUGCCGCGGAUGGGGAUGGGCUCGCGGCGUAUCAGCUUGUGGGUGGGGUAUUGGCUUACCAAGGCGGUGACGGGUAGCCGGCCGGCGAGGGCGACCGGCCACACUGGGACUGAGACACGGCCCAGACUCCUACGGGAGGCAGCAGUGGGGAAUAUUGCACAAUGGGCGGAAGCCUGAUGCAGCGACGCCGCGUGAGGGAUGACGGCCUUCGGGUUGUAAACCGCUUUCGGCAGUGACGAAGCGUGAGUGACGGUAACGGGUAAAGAAGCACCGGCCAACUACGUG